UCUUAGCGCCAGAACUUAUAUUUUUAAGUUGACGAGGUUCAGAGUUAUCGAAUUGUCGGCGGAUGCUCUGCGGGUUUUCACAGUCGUUAAAACUUUAUUAAAACAUAAAAGUGAUUUUGUGCACAAAGUAAAGUUUAA
rnacentral:ncRNA from 1 species